rfam:Cajanus cajan chromosome 2, whole genome shotgun sequence.
AUACCUUUCUCGGCCUUUUGGCUAAGAUCAAGUGUAGUAUCUGUUCUUAUCAGUGUAAUAUCUGAUAUGUGAGCCAAUGGUUCACACGAUAUUAAAUUAUUUUUUUUAGGGAGGGGGUCCAGUACAGUAGCUUGCUACUGGGACUCUCAAGUGUUGCCUAUGUCUUGCACUGCAGCAUAGGCUGGCACACCCAAC